rnacentral:piRNA from 1 species
UCCUAUGGCUGUUGCCCUGGAAAUAC